CCUCAGCGCCCGGUUGGUAUCGCCCCCUAGAGGCUGCUAAGGAUUAGUCCGGCGCUUCUUCUAACACCCCUACGGGCAUGUUCGGAAUGGUCUCGUCCUAUAGAAAGUCGAUGUAAAUAGUUCCGGGAGAGACCACUUCGCGGCUUCCUGGAGGGGGGAGGAAGUAGGAAAGGAAUUGGAUACGGGAUUCAUUCUUUGCCUCUUUCCUUUGGAGUCGGUCAAGAUGCACGGACGGUUGAAGGUGAAGACGACGGAAGAACAAGCCGAAGCUAAGCGCCUGGAACGGGAGAAGAAACUCCAGCAGUACGUGACGGUCACCAAGGCCAUCUUUGAGAAGG